GGGGAUGUAGCUGAGGAGUAGAGCACUUGCCUCGCAUGCGUGAGGCCCUGGGUUCAAUUCCCAGUACCACCA
rnacentral:tRNA from 1 species